GUCCUGAUACAUAUUUGGCUCACGCUAUCUCUCUGAUCCCCUUGCCAGUUUGCUGCCGCCGGCCACAUUCACUCACUUUGUCUCCGGCCACCAUCAGUUUGUCAGUGCCUCCUCGCUACUGUCAUCCGCCGACUCCGAACUCCGCUGUCUCGCCCUCGCUUCACACAGUCUCUGCUCGAACUGCCUCCCUCCCUCACCGUGCGUCUACAGGGAUUUAGAUAUAGCUCUCCGGGCUCUGGUUCUAAACUAUUUAUGGAUAACCAACAGAAGUCUCCCAAACCACUCCUGUAUCCUCAUGUGGUAGAGUUCUCGAAUUAAUAUUUACUUGUAAUGUUAAUUCUUCACUUUUUGGUUCCAAAUUUCAUUUCUUGAAUUUUACCUUCUCUCAAAUUAAAAAAUUAAUUAAUUGAAUCAUGUAAUCUAAAGUGCUACAAAUGACAAAAAAAAAACAGCUAGAAAUAGCUUAAAAACGAAACUUUGUUCGGCCCACAGAGAUCGAAGGGAUUUUCAGGUUCAAUCCACCGGCAUGCUCUUGGCGUUGAGGGCUAACUGGUCUUCUGCGGAUGGAGAUGAAGAAGGUUGUCUCUGUUC